AGCAACAUCAUAAAAUAACAAAAUACAGACGCUUGAGGUCUGCUUUGUGACAAAAGUCUGCAGAAACACACCUAACAGCAGAGCUCCCAACGUCCUCUCUAGUUCCCAACUACGGUACAGGUUCUUUCUAGACUCUUUGCCCCAGGCCGGCUUUAAAGGGAUGUCAAUAAUUUGCCAAGCUUUUAUUUUCCACAUUGGUUCAUUGCAGCUCUUGUCUUGUCUUGCUGCCUGUUGUUUUGCUGCUCGGGAACCUUGAGAGGUGAUCUCAUCUGUGCCGCGCUCCUCAGCCCCUGCUCCCAAAACAAGAUUGUGUUUAUCUGACCAAAAUAGCCGCCUCGGGCUGGAAAAACCCUAGACAAACAGAAAUAGGCCGAGAGUUUCCAAGGAAGACGGUCUGGGCUGGAGGUGAUGCUGCUUGUGAGCGACGGCAGCUGCAGCCACAGAACAAGGAGGCUAGAAAGUAAUGGUUAGAGACAGACAGCUAGCUGAGUCUAAACAAAGUCCUUCGGCCUGAAAGUGGUCGUCAGUCAUCCGUCAAGUUCACCUGGAGGUCAGGUGGGUGAGGAACUCAGAGGUUUCUGUGGGAGGAGCUCCGCCUAGACUGACCGCUGCAUGACAGCUGCCCAACCUUCACUCCCACGGGCGGAGGAGGACGCAAGACACGAUGGGUGCUCAAAUUAAAGUCUUCGUAAUCCUAAAAGAAUAAAAGUAGCCUGUUAAAUCAUCUUUUGUUGAGAAAUGACAGAGUUGCAAAUCUCAACAAUGACACCGAAUUUUUGCUCGUUAUUGUGCCCUGAGCCGACCUUUGACCUUUUAAUUUUGGCGUUCUAAUAAAGAUUCGAUGUCAUGAGCAUGACCCUCCCAUGUUCCAGUCAGCACUGACAAAACAAAACGUCUUCAAGAAACCAAAGAUGUUCAGUUGCCUUUAUUUCAAACCCUUUUGGAAAUCAAGAUUAGAUUUUAAAGUUUUUCUGCUGUUUCAUCUUUACUGAUGAUAACUGCUGGUGGCAGUCGUCUUGAAUGGGGUCGGCUGACUACUCCGUAAAAUCUAGGCAGUGAUUCAAGCCAGGUGGGUGCUUAACCUGAAGCUGCUCCCACGCAUUUUUAAGUGAUGUUUUAUCAGGUAAUCAGUAGUUAGGACCCUAAGUGCAGGUAACGUUAUUUACUAAAUACGUUCAUUUUGUCUUUGUUAUAAACUAAAAUCAUCGUCAUCAACUAAAAUUACUUUUAUUUUAUUUUAAUAAGACAAACGAGGGUAGCGCUCCCAGAAAGUCGCUGAUGCUCUGAGGAAAACUGAAGCUUUCAGUCGAAACUGUCAGCAGGUGUGAUAAAACAUCUUUAAAACCAUGUUUGUCUUAUUAAAGGAAAACAAGUGAUUUUAAUAGCAGGUAACGUUGCUCAGAACCAACAGAAUACCUAAAAGCUGGAAGUUAUGGCAAGACAUUUUACCAUUUAAUCAACAACCGAUCCUCUUUGUAACAUGGAAAUUCCUGGGAAGAUUGUACUUUCUGAAAUAAAAACAGUACUAGUUUAAA